AGAGUUUGAUUCUGGCUCAGGAUGAACGCUAGCUACAGGCUUAACACAUGCAAGUCGAGGGGCAGCAUGGUCUUAGCUUGCUAAGGCCGAUGGCGACCGGCGCACGGGUGAGUAACACGUAUCCAACCUGCCGUCUACUCUUGGACAGCCUUCUGAAAGGAAGAUUAAUACAAGAUGGCAUCAUGAGUCCGCAUGUUCACAUGAUUAAAGGUAUUCCGGUAGACGAUGGGGAUGCGUUCCAUUAGAUAGUAGGCGGGGUAACGGCCCACCUAGUCUUCGAUGGAUAGGGGUUCUGAGAGGAAGGUCCCCCACAUUGGAACUGAGACACGGUCCAAACUCCUACGGGAGGCAGCAGUGAGGAAUAUUGGUCAAUGGGCGAGAGCCUGAACCAGCCAAGUAGCGUGAAGGAUGACUGCCCUAUGGGUUGUAAACUUCUUUUAUAAAGGAAUAAAGUCGGGUAUGGAUACCCGUUUGCAUGUACUUUAUGAAUAAGGAUCGGCUAACUCCGUGCCAGCAGCCGCGGUAAUACGGAGGAUCCGAGCGUUAUCCGGAUUUAUUGGGUUUAAAGGGAGCGUAGAUGGAUGUUUAAGUCANUUGUGAAAGUUUGCGGCUCAACCGUAAAAUUGCAGUUGAUACUGGAUAUCUUGAGUGC
rnacentral:rRNA from 1 species